GACGAACGCUGGCGGCGCGCUUAACACAUGCAAGUCGAACGGAAGGGCCUGCUUUCCCUUGUGGAUUGCGGGUACUCGAGUGGCGAACGGGUGAGUAACACGUGAGUGAUCUGCCCCCAACUUGGGUAUAAGCCUGGGAAACUGGGUCUAAUUCCCGAUAGGACUGCAGGGUGGUGCCUGUGGUGGAAAACGAUUUUCUAGUGGUUGGGGAUGAGCUCGCGGCCUAUCAGCUUGUUGGUGGGGUAAUGGCCUACCAAGGCGGCGACGGGUAGCCGGCCUGAGAGGGUGGACGGCCACAUUGGGACUGAGAUACGGCCCAGACUCCUACGGGAGGCAGCAGUGGGGAAUAUUGCACAAUGGGCGGAAGCCUGAUGCAGUGACGCCGCGUGGGGGAUGACGGCCUUCGGGUUGUAAACUCCUUUCGACCGCGAGGAAGCCACCUGGUUGGAAGGGUGGUGACGGUAGUGGUAGAAGAAGCACCGGCUAACUACGUG
rnacentral:rRNA from 1 species